UUUAAAGAGAGUUUGAUCCUGGCUCAGGACGAACGCUGGCGGCGUGCCUAAUACAUGCAAGUCGAACGAACGGAGGAAGAGCUUGCUCUUCCAAAGUUAGUGGCGGACGGGUGAGUAACACGUGGGCAACCUGCCUGUAAGUUGGGGAUAACUCCGGGAAACCG
rnacentral:rRNA from 2 species